rfam:Schistosoma haematobium scaffold1144_9, whole genome shotgun sequence.
AUCAAGCUGACGAGUUCCAUAAAUAGGAUGAAACGCACGUCCUGGAU